rnacentral:rRNA from 1 species
ACCGUACCCCAAACCGACACAGGUGGUCAGGUAGAGAAUACCAAGGCGCUUGAGAGAACUCGGGUGAAGGAACUAGGCAAAAUGGCACCGUAACUUCGGGAGAAGGUGCGCCGGCCGAUGUGAAGGACUUGCUCCGUAAGCAUCAGUCGGUCGAAGAUACCAGGUGGCUGCGACUGUUUAUUAAAAACACAGCACUCUGCAAACACGAAAGUGGACGUAUAGGGUGUGACGCCUGCCCGGUGCUUGAAGGUUAAUUGAUGGGGUUAGCGUAAGCGAAGCUCUUGAUCGAAGCCCAAGUAAACGGCGGCCGUAACUAUAACGGUCCUAAGGUAGCGAAAUUCCUUGUCGGGUAAGUUCCGACCUGCACGAAUGGCGUAACGAUGGCCACACUGUCUCCACCCGAGACUCAGUGAAAUUGAAAUCGCAGUGAAGAUGCUGUGUAUCCGCGGCUAGACGGAAAGACCCCGUGAACCUUUACUAUAGCUUCACAGUGAACUUUGAACCUACUUGUGUAGGAUAGGUGGGAGGCUUUGAAGUGAGGACGCCAGUUCUCAUGGAGCCAAUCUUGAAAUACCACCCUGGUAUGUUUGAGGUUCUAACUCAGAUCCGUUAUCCGGAUCGAGGACACUGUGUGGUGGGUAGUUUGACUGGGGCGGUCUCCUCCCAAAGAGUAACGGAGGAGCACGAAGGUGCGCUCAGCAUGGUCGGAAAUCAUGCAUAGAGUGUAAAGGCAAAAGCGCGCUUAACUGCGAGACAGACACGUCGAGCAGGUACGAAAGUAGGUCUUAGUGAUCCGGUGGUUCUGUAUGGAAGGGCCAUCGCUCAACGGAUAAAAGGUACUCCGGGGAUAACAGGCUGAUACCGCCCAAGAGUUCACAUCGACGGCGGUGUUUGGCACCUCGAUGUCGGCUCAUCACAUCCUGGGGCUGAAGCCGGUCCCAAGGGUAUGGCUGUUCGCCAUUUAAAGUGGUACGCGAGCUGGGUUUAGAACGUCGUGAGACAGUUCGGUCCCUAUCUGCCGUGGACGUUUGAGAUUUGAGAAGAGUUGCUCCUAGUACGAGAGGACCGGAGUGAACGAACCUCUGGUGUUCCGGUUGUCACGCCAGUGGCAUUGCCGGGUAGCUAUGUUCGGACGGGAUAACCGCUGAAAGCAUCUAAGCGGGAAGCCUCCUUCAAGAUAAGAUCUCACUGGCACUUAAAGUGCCCUAAAGAGCCGUUCGAGACUAGGACGUUGAUAGGUUGGGUGUGUAAGUGCUGUGAGGCAUUGAGCUAACCAAUACUAAUUGCUCGUGAGGCUUGACCAU